rnacentral:rRNA from 1 species
CAGUCGCCGCGGUAAUACAGAGGGUGCGAGCGUUAAUCGGAUUUACUGGGCGUAAAGCGUGCGUAGGCGGCUUCUUAAGUCGGAUGUGAAAUCCCUGAGCUUAACUUAGGAAUUGCAUUCGAUACUGGGAAGCUAGAGUAUGGGAGAGGACGGUAGAAUUCCAGGUGUAGCGGUGAAAUGCGUAGAGAUCUGGAGGAAUACCGAUGGCGAAGGCAGCCAUCUGGCCUAAUACUGACGCUGAGGUACGAAAGCAUGGGGAGCAAACAGGAUUAGAUACCCCUGUAGUCCCUGUCUCUUAUAC